AUGGCUAUCUCCAAAUCGAAGGGAGGCCUGGGAUUUCGUGACUUGGAAAAAUUUAAUGAUGCUAUGCUAGCAAAACAGGCUUGGCGACUAAUGGAGAAGCCUGAUAGCUUAUGCGCGCGUGUCCUCAAGGGACGGUAUUUCCCGGAUGGGGAAUUUCUGCAGGCGGGAUGCCCUGUGAGUGCCUCCACUACGUGGAAAGCGAUCAUCACCGGCAGGGAAGUGCUUAAACAGGGCUUGAUCCGCAGGGCCGGGGAUGGAAUGACUACUGAAGUGUGGCAUGAUAACUGGAUACAAGGAAGCUCAUCUUUUAAACCAGUGUGUAGCGUGGGGAGCGACCCUAUACACCUGGUUGCGGAUUUGAUGCAUGAAGAUGGUGAAUGGAAUGAGGAAAUUAUCAGUGGGAAUUUCAUUGCCUCGGAUGCGAAAGCUAUACUUAACAUGCCAAGACCAUGGAUGGCUCUAUCUGAUUUUUGGGCAUGGUGGCAUGAACGAUCUGGACUUUUCACGGUCCGAUCUGCAUAUCGUAUGCUUAUGGAGGAACAACAAGCAAAGAUGUUACAAGUUGGGAACUCAUUGUUGGGGAACGUAGUAAUUUCAAAAUUUUCCCUACGCACACGCAAGAUCAUGGUGAUGCAUAGCAACGAGAGGGGAGAGUAUGAUCUACGUACCCUUGUAGAUCGCAACGGAAGCGUUGACACAACAUAG
rnacentral:rRNA from 1 species